UCUAGCCUGCUCAUGACAUAGAGUGUUAAAUAGCCGCGGUAUCUUGACCGUGCAAAGGUAGCAUAAUCAUUAGUUUCUUAAUUGGGAACUCGUAUGAAUGGUUGGACAAAGAAAAAUCUGUCUCUUGUAUUACAAUUGAAUUUAACUUCUAAGUGAAAAGGCUUAGAUUUACCAGAGUGACGACAAGACCCUAUAAAGCUUUAUAAAUUUAUUUAUUUCGUCUAUUUUCUUUUAUAAUGAUGAUGUUAAGAAGGUUUAUUUGGUUGGGGCAACCAGAGUAUAAUUAAAGAUAACUGCUACAAUUUAAUACAAUGAUUUUUGUUUAUGAAAUAAUUGAUCCUUGAAAAGAUUAAAGAUCAAGUUACUUUAGGGAUAACAGCGUAAUUUAUCCUGAGAGUUCUUAUCAAAGGAGAAGUUUGCGACCUCGAUGUUGAAUUAAAAUGUCUAUUCAGUGCAGCAGCUGAAAAAGAAGGUCUGUUCGACCUUUAAUUUUUUACAUGAUUUGAGUUCAGACCGGCGUAAGCCAGGUUGGUUUCUAUCUUCUGGAAUUUAAUGAAUCACCUUAGUACGAAAGGACUUGGUGGUUAAAAAUUUUUUUAAAUUUUUGAAAU
rnacentral:rRNA from 1 species